UUGGGAGGGUUGUGGCCUUNNNNCGUGGCUUUUCGGAGCUAACGCGUUAAGUAGACCGCCUGGGGAGUACGGUCGCAAGAUUAAAACUCAAAUGAAUUGACGGGGGCCCGCACAAGCGGUGGAGCAUGUGGUUUAAUUCGAUGCAACGCGAAGAACCUUACCUACUCUUGACAUCCAGAGAACUUUCCAGAGAUGGAUUGGUGCCUUCGGGAACUCUGAGACAGGUGCUGCAUGGCUGUCGUCAGCUCGUGUUGUGAAAUGUUGGGUUAAGUCCCGCAACGAGCGCAACCCUUAUCCUUGUUUGCCAGCGAGUAAUGUCGGGAACUCCAGGGAGACUGCCGGUGAUAAACCGGAGGAAGGUGGGGACGACGUCAAGUCAUCAUGGCCCUUACGAGUAGGGCUACACACGUGCUACAAUGGCGCAUACAGAGGGCGGCCAACUUGCGAAAGUGAGCGAAUCCCAAAAAGUGCGUCGUAGUCCGGAUUGGAGUCUGCAACUCGACUCCAUGAAGUCGGAAUCGCUAGUAAUCGUGGAUCAGAAUGCCACGGUGAAUACGUUCCCGGGCCUUGUACACACCGCCCGUCACACCAUGGGNNNNGGCUGCAAAAGAAGUAGGUAGUUAACCUUCGGGGGGAC
rnacentral:rRNA from 1 species